CUCAGUGACACCCGAGCUGAAGCCACCUCUUUCCCAGGGCUACUGUGUGUUUCAGGGCCCAAAGCAAGGUGACCACUUGAUUGAGGACUGGAAGUGAACCUGCAGAAUGGGAGGGGAGAAGACAACAGAACCUGCGGCCAGAGGUGGCCCGGCCACAUGGCAGGACAGACACACAGACUCGGGCGCAUGUCCGCCAGGUUGCGGGGGGAACACCGCGGGCGUCCUUUCCUGGCUCCUCUGCCUUUCCCAACGCUGAGACGUCAACCGCCAAAUUAUCUCCCGACCCCUAGGGCAGCCAGGCUGUCGCAGAGUUCAGGAGCUGGUGACGACAGCGCGUCCAGAUGCAGCGGAAGGGAAACGUGUCACCGCACGUCCAGCCUCCCCCGCCUCCAGAGCACCCUGGGGCUUCCCACGCCACUCCCAGGGGGUUCUCUCUGGCAGCCACUGUCCCCUGAGCAGGCUGGGUGCUGAGGGAGCAGCCUGCAGCCUGUGGUUGACAGCAGGUGGCGGGAAAUGCCCCGCCCCGGGGCCCCAGGAGUGGGAACUGGGGCUGUGCUCUCUGCUACCCCCUGGAGGUCCCCGCUGCCACUGCGUCCCAGGUGUCCACGGCCGGUCAGUGCCUGGCCCAAUGGCCCACUUGUUGGGGUCAUCCCCUUCCCACUCCCCUGCAUGUCCCCAAGCAAUGAAUUCGUGCCUACAGAUCUGCCUUCAGCCCAACGGAGCAAUGGAGACGACGGAUUCUGGGCUAUUUCAAAAUCUGUAGGCGCCAACUCCCUCCCCCUCCAUCUCUUCCUUCUUCAAAAAGUCACGGAGGGGCCGUGGGGUGACACUGAGCACGAACGAGGUCCCCUAGGAUCGGUCUUCCCCGGGCCUCAGUGUGUGAUUUUAAAAUGCCACAGAUGUCAAAUACCUGGACUCUCGCUGUCCAAACGAGGCCACGGAGCCCACAAGGCCACGGAGCCCUUGAAACGUGGCGGAUCUGAGUCACAACUUAAGUGUAAGGGACGCCACCCAGAAAGCGAGGCCCUGGAGAAAGCAAAACACUUCCUUGGCACUCUCCCUGCCCAUGCCCUGGGAGAGCGGGAACACCUGGGCUGAAGGAGGUACACCAUGAAGCCGACCCCCACCUCCUUCCCCCUGUUCUCCGCAGCCACCUGAGAUUUGGGCAGUAGCCUGUGACCCUAUCGCAUUCUACUGGACGGUCCACUGCUGCCCCUCUGAGCUCCGUGACCUUGGGCAAGACCUUGAACCCCUUCAUGGAGACGGUCUCCUCACUUAGGAAAAACCACAAGGAAUCAUCCGGCCACUCCUCCCUGCUAAUGUCCACUGUGUGCUCCGCUGCCUUGGCCUGACCGCCCCCGACCUCUCUGAACCUCCGUCUCUUCAUCUGGGAGGGAGGGCAGCAGCAGCCUCCGCGGCACCACCAGGGGCUGAUGCACAAGCCCGUGCUGGCCGUCACCUCUGCCCUUAUACCCAGAGGUGGGUGGACGCCCCAGAAACAGGAGACAGGGACACAUAAGGGAGCAGAAAAGAGACCCCAGCAGCCCCCGGCGCAGGAGUGCGAGUCCAUCUGAGCACGGCACGCCGAGAGACACACAAAGGCGCCGUGUUCGGGCUGCUGGACCCGCGCUGCCCCACAGAGCGAGCAUAAUGAAUUGACCUGACAGGACAUUAAGCCUCGCUUCUGCAAGGCCCUCAUUCCCCUCGCCGGCUUUGCUUGUGCCUUUUGUGGUGGAAAAUGCUUUCAUUCCAUGCUGACAGAAAUCACUCGACUCUCAUACCUGAGGCGACCAUUUAAGAAUGUGUCUCAAAGCAUUAUCAAGAGGGGAAAAAAAAAAAAAAACAAGUCACCCUUUUGAGGCCAGAACAAGGGAAAGAGAUUUAAUUGGGCUCAAAGAUUCGUUACCAGGUAGCAAUGAUGUGCGACUCAGCUGUGUGACCUCGGGGAAAUCGCUUGACCUCUCAGGUCUCAGUGUGUUCAUUUACAAAAUGGGGAAAUGACAUGUUCGAUGGGGCAUAAAAGACGGGGUGUAGGUUUUGUUAAAUUUCAUUGCCUCCAACUGACUCUGGAAAUAAAAGUUUUGUUUUAUUUGGAGACA